rnacentral:RNase_P_RNA from 1 species
GUAGAGGAGCCCGGUGUUCUCUGCAUUCAUACGGGGCGAUGUUUGCUGCUGCUGCUGCAGCAAGAGCAGCAGCAGCAGCAGCAGCAGCAACGCCAAUUAAGCAGAGGGGAGGGUCUGGGAUGCCGCAAUUCUGCGAGAGCGGAGACGCCUAAAGGCUUCACUCUCUCACCAGCAAGAUUCUGCUGCUUUGUUCGCGCUGCAGCUCUCUGUCUCUAAGACGAUAGAAGAGCAGCAAUAGAAUAGAGCAGCAGAUUGUAAAGGAGAAAGGCAAGGGGGCAGCGCUGCAGCAAAUCUAUCUGCUGCUGUCUUUUAGUUCAAUCGCCGGGGUGCAACUGCGGUGUAUCUGCAGCUACUCUCUGCAUGCACUCAGCGUUUGCAUGCAGAUGGGGCUGCAGAUAUUUCAGUGCUAACUUUCGAUCCAGACUACUCCCUUUAC